GAGCGUGAGGCUCAGUCGUGGCGUCUGCUGCGUGCUGGGCCGACCCUCCCACCCGUGUCGAUUUCUAUCUUGUUGCUUUGGCGGGCCGGGCUACGUCGUCGCUGCCCGUGAGGGAGAUGCGUCGGCCGCCCACCGGUUUCGGCUGGAGCGCGUCCGCCAAAGACCUAUCCAAAACUCAUGUUGUCUUUGUCGUCUCAGCUUUAUUAUUGAAUUGAUAAAACUUUCAACAACGGAUCUCUUGGCUCU
rnacentral:misc_RNA from 1 species